GACAGAGGGGGCAAGCGUUGCUCGGAAUCACUGGGCGUAAAGGGCGCGUAGGCGGGAUGGCAAGUCAGUCGUGAAAUCUCUCGGCUCAACCGAGAAACGUCGGCUGAUACUGCCGUUCUUGAGGGAUGCAGAGGAGACUGGAAUUCCCGGUGUAGCGGUGAAAUGUGUAGAGAUCGGGAGGAACACCGGUGGCGAAGGCGGGUCUCUGGGCAUUUCCUGACGCUGAGGAGCGAAAGCAUGGGGAGCGAACAGG
rnacentral:rRNA from 1 species